rnacentral:rRNA from 1 species
GAAUUCGCCCUUAGAGUUUGAUCCUGGCUCAGGACGAACGCUGGCGGCGCGCCUAACACAUGCAAGUCGAACGGAGCUUAGAGAGCUUGCUUUUUAAGCUUAGUGGCGAACGGGUGAGUAACGCGUGAGUAACCUGCCCUAGAGUGGGGGACAACAGUUGGAAACGACUGCUAAUACCGCAUAAGCCCACGGUGCCGCAUGACACUGAGGGAAAAGGAUUUAUUCGCUUUAGGAUGGACUCGCGUCCAAUUAGCUAGUUGGUGAGGUAACGGCCCACCAAGGCGACGAUUGGUAGCCGGACUGAGAGGUUGAACGGCCACAUUGGGACUGAGACACGGCCCAGACUCCUACGGGAGGCAGCAGUGGGGGAUAUUGCACAAUGGGGGAAACCCUGAUGCAGCGACGCCGCGUGGAGGAAGAAGGUUUUCGGAUUGUAAACUCCUGUCGUUAGGGACGAUAAUGACGGUACCUAACAAGAAAGCACUGGCUAACUACGUGCCAGCAGCCGCGGUAAAACGUAGGGUGCAAGCGUUGUCCGGAAUUACUGGGUGUAAAGGGAGCGCAGGCGGGAAGACAAGUUGGAAGUGAAAACCAUGGGCUCAACCCAUGAAUUGCUUUCAAAACUGUUUUUCUUGAGUAGUGCAGAGGUAGAUGGAAUUCCCGGUGUAGCGGUGGAAUGCGUAGAUAUCGGGAGGAACACCAGUGGCGAAGGCGGUCUACUGGGCACCAACUGACGCUGAGGCUCGAAAGCAUGGGUAGCAAACAGGAUUAGAUACCCUGGUAGUCCAUGCCGUAAACGAUGAUUACUAGGUGUUGGGGGAUUGACCCCCUCAGUGCCGCAGUUAACACAAUAAGUAAUCCACCUGGGGAGUACGACCGCAAGGUUGAAACUCAAAGGAAUUGACGGGGGCCCGCACAAGCAGUGGAGUAUGUGGUUUAAUUCGAAGCAACGCGAAGAACCUUACCAGGUCUUGACAUCCGAUGCAUAGCACAGAGAUGUGUGAAAUCCUUCGGGACAUCGAGACAGGUGGUGCAUGGUUGUCGUCAGCUCGUGUCGUGAGAUGUUGGGUUAAGUCCCGCAACGAGCGCAACCCUUAUCCUCAGCAGCCAGCAGAUAAAGCUGGGCACUCUGUGGAGACUGCCAGGGAUAACCUGGAGGAAGGUGGGGAUGACGUCAAAUCAUCAUGCCCCUUAUGAUCUGGGCUACACACGUGCUACAAUGGCGUAAACAAAGGGAGGCAAAGCCGCGAGGUGGAGCAAAUCCCAAAAAUAACGUCUCAGUUCGGACUGCAGUCUGCAACUCGACUGCACGAAGCUGGAAUCGCUAGUAAUCGCGAAUCAGAAUGUCGCGGUGAAUACGUUCCCGGGUCUUGUACUCACCGCCCGUCA